AUGCGGGCCCUAGUCUCCCCGGCCCCAGCCGCCGCCGCAUUCCUCCCGCGGACUCCGAGCCCCGGCGCGAGCCCUCGAGGUGCCACACCGGCCUCGCGGCAGCGCUCUUCUUCCGGUGGCCGCGCUGUCGCCGCCGGGGCUGCUGCCACGGGCGACCACUGGGGCGCCGACGACCAGCAGCACCACCGGGAGCAGCAGCAGUACCGCGGCGGCGCCGGCAGGGGCGGCACCAGGCGCGCGGGGCCGAGCGUGCAGUGCGACGUGGACGUGGUGUCGUGGCGCGAGCGGCGGGUGUUCGCGUCCGUGGCGGUGGCCGCCGACGUCGACACCGUGUGGCGCAUCAUCACCGACUACGAGCGCCUCGCCGACUUCGUCCCCAACCUCGUGCACAGUGGGAGGAUCCCGUGCCCGCACGAGGGCAGGAUAUGGCUGGAGCAGAGGGGGCUGCAGCAAGCGCUCUACUGGCACAUCGAGGCACGCGUCGUGCUGGAUCUCCGGGAGGUCCCCGAUGCCGUUGAUGGACGAGAGCUCCACUUCUCCAUGGUCGAUGGUGACUUCAAGAAGUUUGAAGGGAAAUGGUCCGUCAGGGCUGGUCCAAGGUCCGCUAGUGCGAUUUUGCUGUAUGAAGUUAAUGUGAUACCACGAUUUAAUUUCCCAGCAAUAUUUCUUGAGAGGAUUAUAACGUCAGAUCUUCCUGUGAAUCUUACAGCCUUGGCUUUCAGAUCUGAAAAAAUGUAUUUAGAAAACCAUAAAUUUGGACCUACAAAAUUUACCGGUGCAGAGUCCAAGCCACUUAACUUGCGUAGUGCAACAGUCGAGAAUGAUGUCAUCUCUUCUAGUAAGUUCAAAGAAGCACCUGCCUCUUCCGGUUUUGGUGGUGUGCUUGCUUCACCUCCUCCUGAGGUUAAUGGCAAAUGGGGUGUAUAUGGAAGUGUCUGCAGGCUUGAUAGGCCUUGUGUGGUAGAUGAGAUCCAUCUUCGACGAUUUGAUGGCCUCUUGGAGCGUGAAGGGGCUCACAGGUGUGUUGUUGCUAGUAUCACCGUGAAAGCACCAGUUCGAGAAGUAUGGAAUGCACUAACAGCAUAUGAGAAGUUACCUGAGAUUAUACCAAACCUGGCUAUCAGUCGGAUUAUUCUUCGUGAUAAUAACAAAGUUCGAAUAUUACAGGAGGGCUGCAAAGGCCUACUUUAUAUGGUACUUCAUGCCCGUGUUGUAAUGGAUCUUCGUGAGAAACUUGAACGUGAGAUCAGCUUUGAGCAAGUUGAGGGCGAUUUCUACUCAUUUAAAGGAAAAUGGCGCCUCGAACAGCUCGGAGAUCAGCACACACUGCUGAAGUAUAUGGUCGAGACUAAGAUGCAUAAAGAUACCUUUCUCUCAGAGUCUAUCCUUGAAGAGGUCAUAUACGAAGAUCUUCCGUCAAAUUUAUGUGCAAUCCGUGAUUAUGUUGAAAAGGCAGAAGCUGAGAGAGGUAAUUCCAUAAUUCACUCGGAUGCGCCAACCAAUCGAGAUACUGUUCCUAUGUAUUACACAGAAGGACGGCAGCCGGAGCAAGCACCUGUACAUUGCUCUUCAACUUCCACAAGGCAAAGAUCAAAAGUUCCUGGCCUGCAAAAGGACAUCGAGGUCCUCAAAUCUGAACUUGGUAGCUUUAUUGCAAAACAUGGUCAGAAUGGUUUCAUGCCUAAGAGAAAACAUCUUCGGACACAUGGAAGAGUUGAUAUUGAGAAGGCCAUAACACGGAUGGGUGGGUUCAGGAAGAUUGCCACCUUAAUGAAUCUCUCCCUUUCUUAUAAAAAUCGGAAACCAAGGGGUUAUUGGGAUAAUCUCGAGAACUUGCAAGAAGAGAUCGGGAGAUUCCAGAAGAACUGGGGGAUGGACCCUUCUUAUAUGCCAAGUAGGAAGUCUUUUGAGAGGGCAGGGCGGUACGACAUUGCUCGCGCCCUGGAGAAAUGGGGCGGCAUACAGGAGGUCUCCCGGCUCCUCUCGCUUGAACCAAGGCGGCCCCGGAAGCAAGCGGACCCCGACGGCGAGAGCCAGCCGGAAUCUCCGAGCGCCGCCGCCGCGGAGCACCACCCGAGCAGCAGCAAUGCAGACAAGGCGAGCGUGCCCCUGGACGCGCAGAAGUGGCUCCUCAAGCUCAAGGACCUGGACAUCAACUGGGUCGAGUACUGA
rnacentral:rRNA from 1 species